GACGAACGCUGGCGGCGUGCUUAACACAUGCAAGCCGAACGGAAAGGCCCUGCUUUUGUGGGGUGCUCGAGUGGCGAACGGGUGAGUAACACGUGAGUAACCUGCCCUUGACUUCGGGAUAACUUCAGGAAACUGGGGCUAAUACCGGAUAGGAGCUCCUGCUGCAUGGUGGGGGUUGGAAAGUUUCGGCGGUUGGGGAUGGACUCGCGGCUUAUCAGCUUGUUGGUGGGGUAGUGGCUUACCAAGGCUUUGACGGGUAGCCGGCCUGAGAGGGUGACCGGCCACAUUGGGACUGAGAUACGGCCCAGACUCCUACGGGAGGCAGCAGUGGGGAAUAUUGCACAAUGGGCGGAAGCCUGAUGCAGCAACGCCGCGUGCGGGAUGACGGCCUUCGGGUUGUAAACCGCUUUCGCCUGUGACGAAGCGUGAGUGACGGUAAUGGGUAAAGAAGCACCGGCUAACUACGUG
rnacentral:rRNA from 1 species